rnacentral:lncRNA from 1 species
ACUUAAUUAAAUAUGCUUGCAACUAAAGGAUGUGCAGAUAAGAAUUAAGCAAGCAAUUUAUCUAAGUAAGUAAGUGUGUUAGUUAGACUAUAACAAGAGGCAUUGCAAACACAAAGGACAUAUAGUGGUUCGGUGCACCCCAGCACCUACAUCCACUCCCCAAGACCUCUUGGAAAUUUCACUAUAAUCCUACAGAUUACAGUUGGUUGUUUUACAAGCUCACAACCCAACUUGUUGUUUUACGAGCGCACAACGAACUCGGUCGGUUUUCCCAGGCUCACCGACUAGAACCUCCCCGAUUGUUUUCCGGGCUCACAAUCAAACCCUUACACCGUUGGUUUUGACCUAGGCUCACCAACAAACCUCUCACCGUUGGUUUUUCUUUGGCUCACCAACAAACCUUAACCCCUUGAUUCAAUCCCUUGAUUGAAUCAAGUUACAAGA